rnacentral:rRNA from 1 species
GAUGAACGCUGGCGGCGUGCCUAAUACAUGCAAGUCGAGCGAACAGAUGAGGAGCUUGCUCCUCUGACGUAAGGGCGGGAGGGGUGGGUAACCGUUGGUAAACCACCUAUAAGGACUGGAUUACCUUGGGGAAACGGAGGUUAAUCCGGGAAAAAUUUUUGAACCCCAGGGUCAAUUGUGAAAGACGGGUUUUGCUGUACCUAAUGGUUGGUCCGCGCCGCAUUAGCUAGUUGGUAAGGUAACGGCUUACCAAGGCAACGAUGCGUAGCCGACCUGAGAGGGUGAUCGGCCACACUGGAACUGAGACACGGUCCAGACUCCUACGGGAGGCAGCAGUAGGGAAUCUUCCGCAAUGGGCGAAAGCUUGACGGAGCAACGCCGCGUGAGUGAUGAAGGUCUUCGGAUCGUAAAACUCUGUUAUUAGGGAAGAACAAAUGUGUAAGUAACUAUGCACGUCUUGACGGUACCUAAUCAGAAAGCCACGGCUAACUACGUG